GCUAGAGAAGAUUAGUGGCGGACGGGUGAGUAACAUUUAGGAAUCUGCCUAGUAGUGGGGGAUAGCUCGGGGAAACUCGAAUUAAUACCGCAUACGACCUACGGGUGAAAGGGGGCGCAAGCUCUUGCUAUUAGAUGAGCCUAAAUCAGAUUAGCUAGUUGGUGGGGUAAAGGCCCACCAAGGCGACGAUCUGUAACUGGUCUGAGAGGAUGAUCAGUCACACCGGAACUGAGACACGGUCCGGACUCCUACGGGAGGCAGCAGUGGGGAAUAUUGGACAAUGGGGGCAACCCUGAUCCAGCCAUGCCGCGUGUGUGAAGAAGGCCUUUUGGUUGUAAAGCACUUUAAGCAGGGAGGAGAGGCUAAUGGUUAAUACCCAUUAGAUUAGACGUUACCUGCAGAAUAAGCACCGGCUAACUCUGUGCCAGCAGCCGCGGUAAUACAGAGGGUGCGAGCGUUAAUCGGAAUUACUGGGCGUAAAGCGAGUGUAGGUGGCUCAUUAAGUCACAUGUGAAAUCCCCGGGCUUAACCUGGGAACUGCAUGUGAUACUGGUGGUGCUAGAAUAUGUGAGAGGGAAGUAGAAUUCCAGGUGUAGCGGUGAAAUGCGUAGAGAUCUGGAGGAAUACCGAUGGCGAAGGCAGCUUCCUGGCAUAAUAUUGACACUGAGAUUCGAAAGCGUGGGUAGCAAACAGGAUUAGAUACCCUGGUAGUCCACGCCGUAAACGAUGUCUACUAGCCGUUGGGGUCCUUGAGACUUUAGUGGCGCAGUUAACGCGAUAAGUAGACCGCCUGGGGAGUACGGCCGCAAGGUUAAAACUCAA
rnacentral:rRNA from 1 species